AUGGCAGGACGUGCGGGCUACUUCAAUAGUGCUGACAUGUCUUCUCAAGAAUUCAUUAAUCUUGUGCAGAAAAACUGGACGAAUAGGCUAGUUGAAACAUCGAAUCUGAGGAACGCAUAUUCCGAGCAAGUAAAGAUAUGCAUUGAAAUCGGGUUAAGUUGUGUGCAGGAGGAUCGACACAAAAGGCCAGCUAUACAUGAUAUUGUCCAUAGACUGAACGAGACAGAAACUAAGUAUUUUGCGGCAAGGAUGGACUUGUUCAAUUUUCAGGAGGCGAAUAGGAACACUUCCCCUGACUAUGCUCAAGAUCCAAAUGAUCGACACACUGAGCAAAUAUACCAUGGACCCACUUUUAAUCAGGAUACAGUAGCUACUACGUACUCUAAUUGUUUUGAAGGAAAUUCUGGUCCUAGUGAAGUAAGAUUAGAUUAUCCAUUACCUGGUGUGGAGGGAUUUCAAAUUGACGGCAAUCCUAGACCAAGGUUUACUUUAACAGCAUGUUGUUUCCCUACAAAAGGUGCUACACUGGUUAUUUUCCAGUGGGUUCGCUAUUUUGAAGAUGGCACAAGGCAGCCUAUUGAAGGUGCUACGAUGUAUGAGUACUUGGUUACGGCUGAUGAUCUUGGCGCUCAUCUUGCUGCAGAAUGCAUUCCUAUGGAUGAUAAUGGUCGACAGGGUGAUUUGGUGAGGGCGUUUGCUAAUAGUGAGUACAAGAUAACUUCUGAUGAAGACAUACAGAAUUACAUCACUAUUUGUAUUUCGAUGGGAAGAGCUGACUUUGAUGUUUUUGUUUUGGUACAUCUCGAGCAGGGAUAUUCUCCUGAUGAAUGGAAAAAGGCGACAUUGGUGCUUACACAAACCGGAUAUCAAAUUAACUUCAGCCAUAAGAAUGAAGCUAUACAAGUUCCCAGUGGACGAACUACUGAGUUUGUUUUAUUAACUUCUGGGGGUGUAACUCAUACAUUCGAGACACGAGGAAUAACAGGGCACAAUGACGUGGAUAACGACUUUAGGCUACGUGAUCUAAUCAUAUUGGUCCUGAGAACUUUCCAGUAUAAGGCCAACGAGGAAAGUGCGAUUGUCAGCGCGUUAUCAAAUGUUAUUGCUGCUGUUGAUCCUUGGAGGAGAUAG
rnacentral:rRNA from 1 species